rnacentral:rRNA from 1 species
CCCAGACUCCUACGGGAGGCAGCAGUGGGGGAUAUCGCACAAUGGGGGGAACCCUGAUGCAGCGACGCCGCGUGGGUGAAGGAGCGUUUCGGCGCGUAAAGCCCUAUCGGCAGGGAAGAAGGAGGACGGUACCUGACUAAGAAGCCCCGGCUAACUACGUGCCAGCAGCCGCGGUAAUACGUAGGGGGCAAGCGUUAUCCGGAUUUACUGGGUGUAAAGGGGGCGCAGACGGCAGCGCAAGCCAGGAGUGAAAGCCCGGGGCCCAACCCCGGGACUGCUCUUGGAACUGCGCGGCUGGAGUGCAGGAGGGGCAGGCGGAAUUCCUGGUGUAGCGGUGAAAUGCGUAGAUAUCAGGAGGAACACCGGUGGCGAAGGCGGCCUGCUGGACUGCGACUGACGUUGAGGCCCGAAAGCGUGGGGAGCAAACAGGAUUAGAUACCCCUGUA